rnacentral:lncRNA from 13 species
GUCUGACUAGGAGCAGUCUUUCUGUCUAGAUGUCGAGCAGCAGUCAGUCUAGGAGCAGUCAGUCUAGGAGCAGUCUGUCUGUCUAGACAUCUAGCAGCAAUCUGUCUAGCAGCAGCAGUCUUGGAGCAGUCUGUCUGUCUAGACAUCUAAAGGCAUACAAUCUAGCUGCAGUCAGUCUAGCAGCAGUCCGUCUAGGAGCAGUCUGUCUAGCAGCAGUCUGUCUAGCAGCAGUCUGUCUAGCAGCAGCCUGUCUUGCAGCAGUCUGUCUAGCAGCAGUGUCUGUGAUAGUGGAACUACUGCUGCUACUAAUACUCUCCCCACGAGGACUAGGAGGAGGGAAUGGAGGGGUCUGAGGCCCUGGUGAGGGUGGUGGGGUAGGGGAGUGGGGAGGCCACAUAGACAGGCUCCUCUUCAGCCAUUGACAUUACUCUGUAGAGAGAGAGAGGGAGAGAGAGGCAGAAACAGAGAGACAGAUUGAGUCACUCGUCAUGACAAGCCAUUUCACAAAUUUAGGUUGAAACCAAUUACCAUCUAUGUGACAGGCCUAUGUGCUAUCUUUGUAACUCUAACUGAAUUGUAAUCUUCUGACAGCAGGGGGAGCUGUGGUACAAUACAACCACACCAAGCAGUGCUGCCUACGCUCUUCACUAUGUACUCUCUGUCUUCUGAGGGAAGUCCACAUGUAGUUCCACCAUUCGGAAGGAAGGAAGGACAGACGGACAGACGGGCAGGCAGGCAGGCAGGCAGAUACACAGCCAGACACAAAGACAGCUAGGCAGGCAGGCAGGCAGGCAGGCAGGUAGGCAGGUAGAUAGGCAGGCAGGUAGACAGACAGGUAUACAGGCAGGCAGGCAGGCAGACAUGCAGACUCACAGUGGCUUGUUGUACUCCUCCUGCUCCUCCUGCUCCUCUGCAGGGCUGUGGGGUUGCUCCUUAGCCAGGGCUGUGGGGUUGCUCCUCUGCAGGGCUGUGGGGUUGCUCCUCUGCAGGGCUGUGGGGUUGCUCCUUUGCCAGGGCUGUGGGGUUGCUCCUCUGCAGGGCUGUGGGGUUGCUCCUCUGCAGGGCUGUGGGGUUGAUCCUCUGCAGGGCUGUGGGGUUGCUCCUCUGCAGGGCUGUGGGGUUGCUCCUCUGCAGGGCUGUGGGGUUGCUCCUUAGCCAGGGCUGUGGGGUUGAUCCUCUGCAGGGCUGUGGGGUUGCUCCUCAGCCAGGGCUGUGAAGCAUCUCCCCAGGGGCCAGCAGGGGACUGGAGUGGUGACAGGGGUCACUACUGGCUCCGGCUCUGAGAUCAAAGAGGAACAGAAAUGUUCAGCAUCUCAUUGUGACUCUGGUCCAAGCCUAUAACUAGGGCCCAGCGUUUCCCCUUAUCAGGUCUGGGCCCUAGUCAUGGACCACUCAAUUACUCAUACUAUAACUGCAGAUAGAAUGUGCAGAGUGUGCUUGUGUAACGGAGAUACAGCGGCUAUGUUAUCAGACCUGAAGGUGUAAAGGUGUGGGGAUCAGGUGGCUGAGGCUCUCUUGAUGACUGCUGUAGGGUCCCCUGCUCCAAGGCCUGUGGGGUGCCCAAGGGGGACAAGCCUCUGCUGGGGGGCCCAGGACUAACACUGGGCGAGGGGGUGGGAACAGGGGUUAGCACCAAGGGCUCCAACAACAGCACAAGGUGGAAAGAAAGAACAAAUACAUACAUUAAAGGAGGGCAGAAACAAAGAAAACAACAUACAUUGGCGACAAAACCAACCAAUUCAAAAUAAUAUUAUUUUACACUGAAUGCAGAACAAAUGUUUUAAUUGAUACAAUUAAGACAUUGAUUGAUUGAUUGACUGUACAGUACCUCCUGCGGUGAAGGGUCCUGAGCCUUGGCUGGUGUUACAGGUCUCUCCUGUCCCUCUCUCUGUCCCAGCAUCAGAGCUAUGGUUUCUGCCAGGGACACUUGCAGAGACCACAUACUGUCUAACAGGAACACUGGUUAGGACCACAUACUGUCUAACAGGAACACUGACAGUGACCACAUACUGUCUAACAGGAACACUGGUUAGGACCACAUACUGUCUAACAGGAACACUGGUUAGGACCACAUACUGUCUAACAGGAACACUGGUUAGGACCACAUGCUGUCUAACAGGAACACUGGUUAGGACCACAUACUGUCUAACAGGAACACUGACAGUGACCACAUACUGUCUAACAGGAACACUGGUUAGGACCACAUACUGUCUAACAGGAACACUGGUUAGGACCACAUACUGUCUAACAGGAACAC